rnacentral:rRNA from 1 species
GAUGAACGCUGGCGGCGUGCCUAAUACAUGCAAGUCGAGCGAACAGACGAGGAGCUUGCUCCUCUGACGUUAGCGGCGGACGGGUGAGUAACACGUGGAUAACCUACCUAUAAGACUGGGAUAACUUCGGGAAACCGGAGCUAAUACCGGAUAAUAUAUUGAACCGCAUGGUUCAAUAGUGAAAGACGGUUUUGCUGUCACUUAUAGAUGGAUCCGCGCCGCAUUAGCUAGUUGGUAAGGUAACGGCUUACCAAGGCGACGAUGCGUAGCCGACCUGAGAGAGGGAUAGCCCACCUUGGAGCUGAAACGCGGUCCAGAGUCCUACGGGACGCAGCAGUAGGGAACCUGCCGCAAUGGGCGAGAGCCUGACGGAGCGACCGCGCGUGUGUGAUGAAGAUCUUCGGAUCGUAAAACUCUGUUAUGAGUGAAGAACAAAUGUGUAAGUAACUAUGCACUUCUUGACGGUACCUAGUCAGAAAGCCACGGCUAACUACGUG